GACGAACGCUGGCGGCGUGCCUAAUACAUGCAAGUCGAGCGGAUCUUCAUUAGCUUGCUUUUGAAGAACAGCGGCGGACGGGUGAGUAACACGUGGGCAACCUGCCUGUAAGACUGGGAUAACUUCGGGAAACCGGAGCUAAUACCGGAUAAUCCUUUUCCUCUCAUGAGGAAAAGCUGAAAGACGGUUUCGGCUGUCACUUACAGAUGGGCCCGCGGCGCAUUAGCUAGUUGGUGAGGUAACGGCUCACCAAGGCGACGAUGCGUAGCCGACCUGAGAGGGUGAUCGGCCACACUGGGACUGAGACACGGCCCAGACUCCUACGGGAGGCAGCAGUAGGGAAUCUUCCGCAAUGGACGAAAGUCUGACGGAGCAACGCCGCGUGAGCGAUGAAGGCCUUCGGGUCGUAAAGCUCUGUUGUCAGGGAAGAACAAGUACCGGAGUAACUGCCGGUACCUUGACGGUACCUGACCAGAAAGCCACGGCUAACUACGUGCCAGCCGCCGCGGUAAUAC
rnacentral:rRNA from 1 species